rnacentral:rRNA from 1 species
GACGAACGCUGGCGGCGUGCUUAACACAUGCAAGUCGAACGGAAAGGCCCCUUUGGGGGUACUCGAGUGGCGAACGGGUGAGUAACACGUGAGUAACCUGCCCUUGACUUCGGGAUAACUUCAGGAAACUGGGGCUAAUACCGGAUAGGAAUCCUUGCUGCAUGGUGGGGGUUGGAAAGCUUCGGCGGUUUUGGAUGGACUCGCGGCUUAUCAGCUUGUUGGUGGGGUAGUGGCUUACCAAGGCUUUGACGGGUAGCCGGCCUGAGAGGGCGACCGGCCACAUUGGGACUGAGAUACGGCCCAGACGCCGACGGGAGGCAGCAGUGGGGAAUAUUGCACAAUGGGCGGAAGCCGGAUGCAGCAACGCCGCGUGCGGGAUGACGGCCUUCGGGUUGUAAACCGGUUUCAGCAGGGGCGAAGCUUGUGGUGACGGUACCUGCAGAAGAAGCACCGGCUAACUACGUG